AUUAUGUCUUAAUUGAAACUACUGUUUUAAAUAAGCGCAGUUUAGAGAAAUGUACCUCUUUUUUCUCUUCAGACUGGCAGGUCGGUGACGGCAGCCAUGACAGUUCCAUCCGGGUUCCGCUCCCUUCACUGCGCGUGAGGCAGGAACUCAGAGCGGAUGAAUAUGGAUUACCUGAAAGACUCAUUAGGUCGUCUUCUUUACCAACAUGUAUUUGUUUUUUAAACCUCAAAACAACGUAUAUAAAUGCAAUACAAUGUUCCUUUGGUUAAUUCAAGAAUAGAACGUGUUGUUUAAAGUCCAUGCAGUUCUCGCUCUGUUUUAGAAGCAGUUAAAUCCAUUAUUAAAAGUGGCCAUGCAUACUGCUGUUUUGUAGACUCUAGGGACGCCAUGACUCACUCUAGAUCAUGGCGCGCCAUCUUGACCUACAAUAUCAUUCUUCUAACGAUAAAUAGUGGGUUAUUAGUAUCGACACACCGAGGUGCUGCAAAUAGAUGUAUGAAGUAUUGUACACAUUUUAUUCCGUAAUAUAAUUUGACUCAACUCAACUUUAUUGUCAUUCUUCCACAUACACAAUAUACAGAAGAGCAUGAAUGUCGUUUCUGAUGGACCAAGGUGCAAUUGACAAAACAAGUAUAUGCAGGUGUUCAUGACAACGGGAAUUUAAUCAAGAGCACAUUAAACCUAACAUAACAAGAACAAUAGAGCAACGUGACGAGCAAUAAACAUGAGUUUUUGAACCACACAGUUCCUCUGUAGAAGGUGGUGAGGAUGGGUGGUGGGAGGCUGGCUCUCUUCAACUUCGAUGUUUUGCCUUCUUCACAGCGGAGUUGGCGUUGAUGGACCAGGUGAGCUCAUCAGAGAUGUGCACACCGAGAAACGUGCUGCUCCUGAUUCUCUCUAUAACAGAGCCGCUGAUGAGCAGAGGAAGAUGGUCAGUUGACCUUCUCCGGAAAUCAACAACAAUCUCUUUAAUCUUCUCCACACUGAGCGACAGAUUGUUGUUGUGGCACCAGCUCACCAGUUGUUCCACCUCCUCUCUGUAUGUUGUUUCUUUGUCGUUGCUGAUGAGGCCCAGUACUGUCGUGUCAUCAGCAAACUUGACAAUGAAGUUGGAUUCUGACUUGGCUGUGCAGUCGUGGGUGAGCAGCGUGAACAGCAGUGAACUGAGCACACAGCCUUGAGGGGCACCUGUGCUCAAUGUGAUGGUGCCUGAUGUCCUUCACCCAUACACACUGACUGUGUUCUCUCUAUCAAUGUGAUAAGACAGAGUGCAGUGUGUAGGAGAUAGCAUCAUCUGUAGAGUGGUUGGGUCGGUAUGCAAAUUGUAGUGGGUCCAGUGAAGAGGGCAAAGUGGAGUGAAUGUGUCUUUUAACCAGACGUUCCAAGCACUUCAUUGUUAUGGGAGUCAGUGCUACAGGGCGGUAAUCAUUAAGACGUCACUGUUGACUGUGGUCUUUUUGAAGCACAUAGGGACCAUAAAAUAAAUUUUAUGUUACACACUAUUAUACAAUUUUUUACACAAAG
ensembl:lncRNA